UACGAAGGGGGCUAGCGUUGCUCGGAUUGACUGGGCGUAAAGGGCGCGUAGGCGGAUAGUACAGUCAGGCGUGAAAUUCCUGGGCUCAACCUGGGGGCUGCGUUUGAUACGUAUUGUCUGGAGUUCGGAAGAGGGUCGUGGAAUUCCCAGUGUAGAGGUGAAAUUCGUAGAUAUUGGGAAGAACACCGGUGGCGAAGGCGGCGACCUGGUCCGAUACUGACGCUGAGGCGCGAAAGCGUGGGGAGCAAACGGG
rnacentral:rRNA from 1 species